rnacentral:lncRNA from 1 species
AAUUAUAGGAAAAAGCAAACAUUUGCCUAUAAAAGGGCAUUUAUACUCCGGCAUGAUAUCUGAAACCUUCUGGAGCUAUGUUGGUUGAAUCUGCGAAUGUGGCACUGACCAAAACGAAGGGCCGACUUACUGCCAUGGCACUGUGUUUCCUGAGUGAAAGCCACUUAAAAAUAUCCCUAUCAAACAUCCUUUGCGAAUGGAGGAUUUUUAGAGGGAGGCUACUCAGGGACAGCGCAUCCCUCCCAGGAGCCCAGGCUGUAGUCACCUCCACUGUGAGGCUGAAGACAAAACUGUCACCGAGCUCAGAGGCUGAUUUCUAG